UGAUGAACGCUAGCUACAGGCUUAACACAUGCAAGUCGAGGGGUAGCAUGGUCUUAGCUUGCUAAGGCCGAUGGCGACCGGCGCACGGGUGAGUAACGCGUAUCCAACCUGCCUUACACUCUUGGACAGCCUUCUGAAAGGGAGAUUAAUACAAGAUGUUAUCAUGAGUAAGCAUUUUCGCAUGAUUAAAGGUUUACCGGUGUAAGAUGGGGAUGCGUUCCAUUAGAUAGUAGGCGGGGUAACGGCCCACCUAGUCUUCGAUGGAUAGGGGUUCUGAGAGGAAGGUCCCCCACAUUGGAACUGAGACACGGUCCAAACUCCUACGGGAGGCAGCAGUGAGGAAUAUUGGUCAAUGGACGAGAGUCUGAACCAGCCAAGUAGCGUGAAGGAUGAAGGUUCUAUGGAUUGUAAACUUCUUUUAUACGGGAAUAAACGGAUUCACGUGUGGAUUUUUGCAUGUACCGUAUGAAUAAGGAUCGGCUAACUCCGUGCCAGCAGCCGCGGUAAUACGGAGGAUCCGAGCGUUAUCCGGAUUUAUUGGGUUUAAAGGGAGCGUAGAUGGGUUGUUAAGUCAGUUGUGAAAGUUUGCGGCUCAACCGUAAAAUUGCAAUUGAUACUGGCAGUCUUGAGUACAGUUGAGGUAGGCGGAAUUCGUGGUGUAGCGGUGAAAUGCUUAGAUAUCACGAAGAACUCCGAUUGCGAAAGGCAGCUUACUAACCUGUAACUGACAUUGAUGCUCGAAAGUGUGGGUAUCAAACAGGAUUAGAUACCCUGGUAGUCCACACGGUAAACGAUGAAUACUCGCUGUAGGCGAUAUACAGUCUGCGGCCAAGCGAAAGCAUUAAGUAUUCCACCUGGGGAGUACGCCGGCAACGGUGAAACUCAAAGGAAUUGACGGGGGCCCGCACAAGCGGAGGAACAUGUGGUUUAAUUCGAUGAUACGCGAGGAACCUUACCCGGGCUUAAAUUGCAACCGAAUAUGGCGGAAACGCUAUAGCUAGCAAUAGCGGUUGUGAAGGUGCUGCAUGGUUGUCGUCAGCUCGUGCCGUGAGGUGUCGGCUUAAGUGCCAUAACGAGCGCAACCCUUGCCGAUAGUUACUAACAGGUUAUGCUGAGGACUCUGUCGGGACUGCCAUCGUAAGAUGUGAGGAAGGUGGGGAUGACGUCAAAUCAGCACGGCCCUUACGUCCGGGGCUACACACGUGUUACAAUGGGGGGUACAGAGGGCUGCCACCACGCAAGUGGAUGCCAAUCCCAAAAACCUCUCUCAGUUCGGAUUGAAGUCUGCAACCCGACUUCAUGAAGCUGGAUUCGCUAGUAAUCGCGCAUCAGCCACGGCGCGGUGAAUACGUUCCCGGGCCUUGUACACACCGCCCGUCAAGCCAUGGGAGCCGGGGGUACCUGAAGUGCGUAACCGCAAGGAGCGCCCUAGGGUAAAACUG
rnacentral:rRNA from 1 species